UUGGACUAGCCCUUAAGCUUUACACGCGUUAGACGAACGGUCUGGAAAGUCCGACGAUACAGGGUGAUAGUCCCGUAGUUGACGACGUGUGUUCAGUGAAAUCGAGUAGGGCGGGACACGUGAUAUCCUGUCUGAAUAUGGGGGGACCAUCCUCCAAGGCUAAAUACUACUGACUGACCGAUAGUGAACCAGUACCGUGAGGGAAAGGCGAAAAGAACCCCUGUGAGGGGAGUGAAAUAGAACCUGAAACCGUGUACGUACAAGCAGUAGGAGCAGGCUUUGUCCUGUGACUGCGUACCUUUUGUAUAAUGGGUCAGCGACUUAUAUUCAGUGGCAAGGUUAACCAUCUAGGGGAGCCGUAGGGAAACCGAGUCUUAACUGGGCGUUCAGUCUCUGGAUAUAGACCCGAAACCAGGUGAUCUAGCCAUGGGCAGGUUGAAGGUUGAGUAACAUCAACUGGAGGACCGAACCGACUAAUGUUGAAAAAUUAGCGGAUGACUUGUGGCUAGGGGUGAAAGGCCAAUCAAACCUGGAGAUAGCUGGUUCUCCCCGAAAGCUAUUUAGGUAGCGCCUCGGACGAAUACUACUGGGGGUAGAGCACUGUUAAGGCUAGGGGGUCAUCCCGA
rnacentral:rRNA from 1 species